GGCAGUGACACGGGGUGCUCCGUCGCGGAGCUGAGAUGAGACCCGUCGAACCUGAUCUAGCUAGGACUAGCGAAGGGAUCGUCACGCGAUGACGCG
rnacentral:ncRNA from 2 species